AAGUAGAAUGGGAAAAGUACAGGAAAAAAGGAUUUAGUCUACAGCGGAGUGAUGCCCAAAGGGCAGACAGACUCCAGGAUGCUAAAUUACAGAAACUACUCCUAGGGAAAAACGGUAAAUGCAGGAAAGAAAGAUGCAGGAAACUAAGGGUGGUCUAUUGUUCGCAGGGGCAAAGACCCAUUUUCAGGGUAUCAUCGAUCUAUUUAUCCUAUCGCCCCUGAUACAGUUAUUGCACGAUUAGCCACUAUUUCCUAGUAUUCCGGACCCACUUUGGCCGAUCAAACCGC
rnacentral:lncRNA from 1 species